CAUCUUGAGAGUGGCAAAGCGAGGUCCGGGUCUGGAUCUGGCAGCGGGAGGCCCGGACGCAGGGCCAGCCUUCUCUCGUUGCUAUGGGAGACCAGCUUAUGAGCGUGGCUACUCCCGCAUCCAGGAAGAGGUCAGCCCCGGUGUGUGUCCCAGAGGAGCCAGUGAACGGCGCUGGGCGGCAAGAGCUCUGCAGGUGUUGGGCUGCAACGGGAGUGCGUGGAAUCCGCCGCGGCCCUGAAUCACGCUGGGGGCUCGCUGCACAGGCUCGGCUCAAAUCAAGGGAUAUUCAAGUCCUGGUUCCAGCGCUGGCUGUGCAGCUUUGGGCAGCUAACCUCACUCAUCAAGGCCCACUUUCCUCUUCUUCAAGAUGGGAAAGGAACCGUUGGUAAAGUUUGUAGAGCCUCUCCAGGAGUUAGCACUAAACAGAUGUCUCCUGAACUCUAACUGGAGGUACUUUUUACUUCUACUCCCGGCUCCUCAGGAGCCCUCUGAAGUCCCUUCUCCCCUUGCCACUCUCCCGUCCCUGGGCCCCAAGGCAGCAGCGGCUCCCCGCUAGCCCGCCAGGUCCAGGCUGACCGCCCCUUGGGCUUCAUCCCGGAGUCAGGACGUGGUGGGGCAGGUCCCUGGCCAGCCUGAAAGUUUCCUUCACAUCAGCGUCUUUGUGAACAGAGCGUUGGAGGCUUUGAAGUGCCUGUGCUGCUGAGGAGGGGAGGGAGGGCGAAGAAGGCAGCAGCAGACCUCCCAGAAUGAGGCAGGUGCAGACGGAGUCCGGGGUGCGGGGACAGGAGAGGUCCAGGCCACCUGCGGCCCGAGCACAUCUGUCUGGAGCUGGGCUGUCCUGCAGACCGUCCUGUAGACAGCUGACCUGUCCGCCCAGCUUGUGCCCCAGCUGAUGUUCACCAGGAGUCACCCUGGAGGCCUGGGGGGUGGGCAGCGCUCUUAGCCCCACCCCCUCCCCCUGAGGAUCAUGCCUGUCCCCAGCCUCCUCCAGCAGCCGAGUUCGAGCCCCAGCCUACUGACUGUGAUCUUGGGCAAGGCACUGAGCCUGCACCUGUUUUUCCAUCCUUGAAGAGACUAUACGAUGGGACGCCUUAGGAUAUUUGGGAGUAUUAAUGAACUAAUGCACAGAGCACAGUGCCAGGGUUUGAGUAAUGAUGUGUCUGAUCGAAACUGUCUCAGGACCCCUGGCCUGGGAGCGGUAGUGAGUCCUUCCCUUCAGAGGGGGAGGUCUCUGCCCGCUUGGUCAGCUGGUUGCAGGAGGUGAUUGCCGGCAUCCUGUCUUUCAGUGCAAUGAUACUUUGUACCCGUAGGAAUGGGGUGGGGGUGCAAUUUGAGGGAGAACGGGCUGACCACCCCCAACCCCUGUGCUCUGUGGUCUCGCUUGGUGUAUGUAUGUCCUCCCUCCUAGAGGCCAUGACAGAAUGGAAAUCUUAAGGUGAGUUGGCUAGCUGGCUGCUCUUGCUUCUCUGCCCAGAAAGGCCUGGACCUUUCUGCCCCCUUGCCUCAACUACCCACGUUCAUGACAGGUACCCUCCAAAGUAAGCCUGCAGAGUCUUGGCCGUGGUGGGCCUUCUCCUCCUGUCUAUUUUUUUUUAACAUUGAUUAAUAAAUACUAAUUAUAAAUGA